rnacentral:rRNA from 1 species
GACGAACGCUGGCGGCGUGCCUAAUACAUGCAAGUCGAACGCAGUGGGGCCGGGUGAGUAACACGUGGGUAACCUCCCAUCAGAGGGGAUAACACUUGGAAACAGGUGCUAAACCGAUACUGAUGGAUGGACCCGCGGUGCAUUAGCGAGUUGGUGAGGUAACGGAUAACCAAGGCCACGAUGCAUAGCCGACCUGAGAGGGGGAAAGGCCAGACGGGGACUGCGACACGGGCCAGACUCCUACGGGAGGCAGCAGUAGGGAAUUUUCGGAAAUGGACGAAAGUCUGACCGAGCAACGCCGCGGGAGUGAAGAAGGUUUUCGGAUCGGAAAACUCUGUUGUUAGAGAAGCGGUAUCUAACCAGAAAGCCACGGCUAACUAAGUGCCAGCAGCCGCGGUAAUAC